UGCAUGUCUAAGUACAUGCCGUAUUAAGGCGAAACCGCGAAUGGCUCAUUAAAUCAGUUAUGGUUCCUUGGAUCGUACCUUUCUACUUGGAUAACUGUGGCAAUUCUAGAGCUAAUACAUGCAGCAGAGCUCCGACCUUCGGGGACGAGCGCUUUUAUUAGACCAACCAAUCGGACCUCGUGUCCGUCUCUUGUGGUGACUCUGUAUAACUUUGGGCUGAUCGCACGGGCCCGUCCCGGCGACGUAUCUUUCAAGUGUCUGCCUUAUCAACUUUCGAUGGUAGGUUACGCGCCUACCAUGGUCGUAACGGGUAACGGGGAAUCAGGGUUCGAUUCCGGAGAGGGAGCCUGAGAAACGGCUACCACAUCCAAGGAAGGCAGCAGGCGCGCAAAUUACCCACUCCCGGAACGGGGAGGUAGUGACGAAAAAUAACAAUACGGGACUCUUUUGAGACCCCGUAAUUGGAAUGAGUACACACUAAAUCCUUUAACGAGGAUCCAUUGGAGGGCAAGUCUGGUGCCAGCAUCUGCGGUAAUUCCAGCUCCAAUAGCGUAUAUUAAAGUUGUUGCGGUUAAAAAGCUCGUAGUUGGAUCUCAGUUCCAGACGGGUGGUCCGCCUACCGGUGGUUACUGCCUGUUCUGAACAGCCAGCCGGUUUCUCUUGAUGAUCUUCACCGGUUGUCUUGGGUGACCGGCAAGUUUACUUUGAAAAAAUUAGAGUGCUCAAAGCAGGCGUGACGCCUGAAUAAUGGUGCAUGGAAUAAUGGAAUAGGACCUCGGUUCUAUUUUGUUGGUUUUCGGAACACGAGGUAAUGAUUAAGAGG
rnacentral:rRNA from 1 species